rnacentral:lncRNA from 1 species
UCGAGCUUGUUUUUGUAUUUUCCUUUUAGUUCGGCAAAUGUUAACGAAUUUCGGUGUAAAUUUUGUUCAGAGCCUUUUGCUUCUGAAAUUUCAAUGUCGCAUUGCGGUCUUCAGUAGGAAUUCAGAACACCUGUUUUUUCAGACUCGAAAGUUUUUCCUUUUGAGUUUUCUUUUUGAUUUUUCGUAUGUAAUGCUCCAAUUUAUUAUCCAGAGCAUCUGCCUCUAAAUUUUAUGGCAAAAAUUGUUCUGAGUAAAUUCAUGCUUAUUUUCAUGAAUUCAUUAGAUUGCUCAUUUUGCUUAUUUUCUAAUGAAACAUCAUGGAGUUUGUUUUAUUUUGAGCUAUUUUUUGAAUUUUGAGUCUAGAUUUACUCAUUCUUCUUUCGAUCAAGGAAUUUUAGAUCUUGAAAUUUCUAUUCCUAACUCGAUGGAUGAUCUGAUUGCAAACACCGGAAGUAACAAUGCAAAAUCGCAAGCGGCGUGCAGAGCUAAAGGAGUUGGUGUUUCUGGCCAUUUUGAACUUAGGAGUUGUACCAUACCAUGCAUCCACAACCCCGGGAGUUGUACCAUUCACACAUUCCCUCUGAAUCUCUCCCUCAUAUCUUCUUUAAAACGAUCCCAGGUGGUUAAGAGGUUGUUGCGCCGGAGUCCUCUGAUCCACGACAAGGCUGCGCGCGUCAUAUGAAACCAUGCAAUCUGGAUGCGUGAAUCAUCGAAGAUGCCAUGGAAUAUAAAAUAUUCUCCGGCUUGAUAAAUCCAGCCCUCCGGAUCCACCCCCGUGAAUUUUGGUAGGUCCAGUUUGAUUGCCCGUGUUGCUCUACUUGCUGCGUUUGGAUCGGCUUGGUUUCGAUAUCCUCCCAAAUUAAAGUAGCUUGUAUGUCCCUGACCAUACCAGCAAUUUCCGCAACCUGCCCGGCUAAGUUCGCUAUUGAUGCGUCCUGUCGUCGUGUAACUUCUGUGAAUUUAGACGUUUAGUCUGUUAAUACAAUUCCGAUUUCUUGCCAGAUUUCGUCGAACCCAUUGCUCGUUUCAUCUGCUUCUGCCAUGUUUACAAUUCUGUAAUCGAUAUAAAGAAAAAAAAAUAAAUUACUAGUACGAUGUGCUUUCCUUUAGCGGAUUUAGUUAAGGCCUGGAACAAGCCUUGGCGUGUGAAAGUUUAUAGUCGUUUUCCGACUGUGGUAAUCUGCUCUUUGGAGAAGCCGACUGUCUAAUUCAUUGAAAGCACCAAUGUAACGUUUUGCCAACGUUGAAGGAGUAGGAUGGAAAAGAAAUCUCCCGUGGGAGCCGCCGAGCCGGUGGUUGGAAAAAGACUCUCCCGAGCCUGUGGAAACGAGAAACAGAAUUGGGUUCCAAAAU